GGAGAAUCACUUGAACCCGGGAGGCGGAGGUUGUGGUGAGACGAGAUCAUGCCAUUGCACUCCAGCCUGGGCGACAGAGUAAGACUCCAUCUCAAAAAAAAAAAAAAGGUUAGAUUCAGAUUUAGUUAGACUUGCUUCUUCCUCACAUGCAAUUUCAUCAGUCUUUUCCCAGACCUCUGUACUCAACAGGGAAAGUUCUUUCCUGGGAGACCAUAGCUGUUUGUAUGUAAACAGCUGCCAAAAAAAUAACUCCAACACCUCUCUGUCACAGAAGUAUUGAAUUAUAUAGACUGAAAAAAUGAAAGUACCCAAGUAAAUGUGUGUGGUAAGGAAAUAGCUAAGAGUUCAGGAUUCUGUUUUGUGGCUCUGGUCUCAGAAAUAAACCUCACAUACAUAUUAUUUCUUAUCCCUUCUAUUAUAAUACUUUUUUUUUUUUUUUUUAAAGAGACAGGGCCUUGCUCUGUCACGCAGGCUGUGCUAUGGUAGCUCACUGUCACCUUGAACUCCUGGCCUCAAGCGAUCCUCCUGCCUCCCAAGUAGCUGGGACUAUAGGCCUGCACCAGUGCUUGGUCCAGCCACUCACUCUCUUAUGUCAUAUAGCAAUGACCAUUAAGGGAAAUUCCGUACAAACUAUAGAAUAGCUGUCAUUCUUUACCCAACCCAGAGACACGAGUUAAAAACCUAGUAUUCAUUCUUUUUUUUUUUUUUUCCUGUACCAAAACAAUCAUCUUCCUUUAUUUUUUCUGGAGCAGAUAGAGAGGAAUGGAGAAGGGACAAAUGCAAGGUGUCACUUUGAACUUCUCUUUCACUGCACAUGUGGGACUCCACUCUCCUGCCAGCAGCCUCUGUGCACAGGCCCCAGGGGUGAGAGAGAUAACGAGGUCUAGCCGGACCCCCAGCACUAUCCUCCUUGUGUUUAUGAAAGGCAGAUGCCUCUGUUGUAUGUUUUCAGGGGAGUCAGACAGGGCUGGGUCCACCAACCUGUGUCCUGCAUCCUGACCACCUGUCGCCGUGCGUGAGGCUCACUGGAAACACUGGCUGGGUGCAGAUAGCUUCCAAACUAUUGUGAAGCUCACACUUGACUUCCCAAGGAACGUGUUUCCGGAAAGGGCAUUGCCCUAAUUACGGUCUUCGAUAAGCAGGAAGAAGUUUAUCAUUCCUUACUUUCAACGUCCUACUUCGUGCAGCAUACAUCUAAUCAGUCGAAUCUAUUGAUGCUACCCCUAAACAUCUCGGCCUGGCCGGCGCUCAGAGCCCUGCCUUCAUUCAGUUACUGCAUUGCCGGCGGACUGUGAUCCAGUCUCCUGCUUCAGCACCCCCCCAGGCCAGCAGCCACACUACUGCCAAAAUCCGGUAGAAAAUUAACUUCAGGGAAAUUUAGAAAAUGCAAGAACGGUGAAAGAAGAAAAUAAGCCACCUGACAUCUCACCGGUCAGGAAUAGACCUGUGGAUGUUUUAAUGUAUUUCCCUCUAGUGAUCUUUCUAAAGGACCAUUUCCAAUCCUUGUCUCCUCCUUCUCUGUAGGAUUUAAAAAUGCUGACUGUGCUGCCUGCUCUCUGCAAUGCCCAUGUGACAGCCUGCUGUCCUAUUCUAGCGCUUGGCUGGCUCCUCGUCUGCUGCCAGCCCCCUAAAUUACGGUGUUUCCAGGCAUUCUGUCCUCAACCCUCUUAUUUUCUCAUUCUGCAUGCUUUAUCUUUGGGUGCUCUCCUCCACGCCCAGAGCUUCAAAUAUCACUAUUCGGUGAUGACUCCAAAAUCUGUAACUUCUGAGCUCUGGACACAUUAACUCCUCUACAUACCUCAGGUGCAACAAAUUAUACAUGUCCCAAUUGAGAGAUGCCAUCUUUUCCACAACCUUGCACUGGUCACUUCAUUGACUAUCUGGGAAACUGGAAGGACUCACAGACUCCCCCUUUUCCUGAGUCUCUGGGCCUCCCUGAAGCGUGGAUGUUACUUCCAAUUUUCCAGGCCCCUAAACUCAUAGAACAUAGAAUGUAUUUCUGUUCUUAGGCCCUUGAUGACAUGUCACUACAAACCAGAAAUGUACAGAUGAACCAAAACAGCUACAUGGUACUGAUAUACACAGUCAAGAAGUAUUUCUUAGCCCUUUGAUAAGACGCAUACAGUAAUAAAUCUCUGUGGAAACUAUAGCCUUUUUGGAAGCCUGUGAGAAAAAAGUAACCUUUGCCAUACCGAGGAAAUCUGACCCAACACUUCAGUCUGAUGUGAAGAAAGUUGCAGGGUCUUGUGGAGUGAAGCUAGAGUCAUCUCCUGUGUGAAGAUCUCCUGGGUGAAGCAUGUUUGUAUUUCACCUGUGCAAUGGAACAUCCUCAAAGAUCUGCCUGGCUGCAUCAGGACUCAUUUUUUUCAGGAGAGUCGGGUAAGGACAAUAUUACUUGAGCAUAGUAGUGCUCCCUGAGUGGAUCUUAACUAAGGAAGAAAUAUAAAGACACAUUCAAAGGUGACCCCCUUUCAAAUGGGUUUUCUAUUUAGUUUCCCAAAAUUGAAAAAACGUUUCAUAAAAUAAUCAUUCAAUUAGCAUUUGUUGAGUGCUCAGGAACAUUUCCCAGCACUGGGAUAUAGCAGCGAAGCAAAUGAAUGCAAGUCCCAGCCUUCUAAGACGUUUUCUUACAGUCUGGUAGGUUGACAUGUUCAUUUCCUCUCUGGCAUCCCAGUAAUGGCACCGACAUCAUCUCCACCUGUAAUCACAGCCUGUAGGCCUGUACAUUCAACUUAGGGAAGCAUAACAUAAAGGCAUAUAAAUGAAAGCCUAAGUAUAUACAGCUAUGAUUCCAUCAUGAGGCUCAGGUCUGCAAGCAGAUACUCAGUUUUCUCGCCAGGAUCACUGGGACCGCUUCUGUCUUGGCCGCCAGGGCUCCCCUCCAAGGUGCUGCAAUUCAGGAGGUUAUAAAGGCAUGGAAAAGGAAGGUUCUGCGCUUGUGAGAGCAGUUGCCAAUACAAAAGCCACAGAUAAUAGCCCUAUGUUGUGAAGAACAUGAUUGCGAAGUCCAAGUUGAAUAAACACAGAGUCAAGCUCCAUUUUAGUUGUGACGAUAGAGCUGUGAUGGGAUUGAAAAGCCGUCAAAGUUCAGGGUCACUGGCCUCAAGCUGGAAAAUUCUUGAGGAUGCUUGACUAUUAUUUUAUGUAAUGGCUACUUCCAUUUUACAACAGACUGGGAAGUGGGGGUCAUUUUGUUGCAACUAUUUUCUGAAAAUCAUGAGUUUACAUUGAGUAAUAAUAUAUUGCCCAGCUUUUAGUAAUAUUCCUUCUGUCCUGUUCUGAAGGGAAAACACAUUCUCUAAAAUUGCGUAGAUUUCUCUCUCUCUCUCUCUCUCUCCCUGUGUGUGUGUGUGUGUGUGUGUGUGAGAGAGAGAGAAAGAGAGAGAGAGAGAGUUCUUCCUUUCCCAAGGGAAGGCUUUCAACUUUGAAAACUUCAUGAAGUGUUUUUUGGCAUAAUUUCCCAAAUAGCUGUGAAAUAAAUAUUCUGAAAUAUUCAUUAUUUCUCUAUGGUGACAAACUAUAAAAUAGUCCUUUUACCUUUAAAGAUGGGUGGACACAGCAUCUAUAGCUUUGCCUUGAAGUUCUGUAGAAGCAGUUAUUGUAAUAGGUUCGGGUAUUGAAGAUAUUUUAAA